GCCCCGGUAGCUCAGCCGGUGGAGCGUCGGCCUCGUAAGCCGAAGGCCCCGGGUUCAAAUCCCGGCCGGGGCUCCA
rnacentral:tRNA from 1 species